rnacentral:SRP_RNA from 1 species
CGGCUGUAACGGUCAUCAAGGAGGGAGAUAUCAACGAUCCCCAACUUCUCCACCCAUCUCUCUGUCUAACGACAAAGCCAUCAGCGGUGCCCAGUCCGAACAUGGCGGUGACGUCCCACUCGUGCAGGUAACUCACGAUCGCUGGUGGUGUCCUAAGCAAUGGAGGAGACCGGUUCAGGGAGGUUUCACUCUGCAGAUCGAUCUCCACCGUGGUGUGGCGGUAUUGGAAUACACUUGCUGCGUGGUUUGGGUGGUGGGUUGGGGUUGAGCGUCGACCUAUUUUUUUACAUUUUUUUUCUUCUUUUUGGGGUGUUUUUCUUUUUUU